ACUCAAAUGAAUUGACGGGAAUCUACACAAGCGGUGGAGCAUGUGGUUUAAUGCGAUGCCACGCGCAAAACCUUACCAAUUUUUGUAUAUUAGAUAAUUAAAUGAUAAAUAAUUUAAUUAAUAAAAAUCUAUUACAGGUGUUGCAUGGCUGUCGUCAGCUCGUGUUGUGAAAUGUAUGAUUUGGUUCAGUAACGAGCGCAAUCCUUAUAUUUAAUUGCCAAAUAAAAGAAUUUAAAUUUUAUUAUUUAAAUUUAUUUUAGGAACUUUAAAUAGACUGCCUAUAAUAAAUAGGAGGAAGGAAAGGAUAACGUCAAGCCCUCAUGACCCUUAUAAAUUGGGCUACACACGUGCUACAAUGAUAAUUACAAUGGGGUACAAUAUUGCAAAAUGAAGUAAAUCCUUAAAAAUUAUCUUAGUUCAGAUUAUUCUCUGCAACUCGAGAAUAUGAAGGUGGAAUCGCUAGUAAUCGUAAAUCAGCACGUUACGGUGAAUAUGUUCCUAGAUUUUGCACACACCGCCCGU
rnacentral:rRNA from 1 species